AGAGUUUGAUCCUGGCUCAGAGCGAACGCUGGCGGCAUGCCUAACACAUGCAAGUCGCGCGGGCAGUAAUGUCAGCGGCGGACGGGUGCGUAACGCGUAGGAACAUAUCUAGAGGUGGGGGACAACCCUGGGAAACUGGGGCUAAUACCGCAUAUGAGCUGAGGCUCAAAGCAGCGAUGCGCCUUUGGAGUGGCCUGCGUCCGAUUAGCUUGUUGGUGGGGUAAUGGCCUACCAAGGCGACGAUCGGUAGCUGGUCUGAGAGGACGAUCUAGCCACACUGGGACUGAGACACGGCCCAGACUCCUACGGGAGGCAGCAGUGGGGAAUAUUGGACACAUGGGCGCAAGCCUGAUCCAGCAAUGCCGCGUGUGUGAGGAAGGUCUUCGGAUUGUAGAGCACUUUCGACAGGGACGAUGAUGACGGUACCUGUAGAUAAAGCCCCGGCUAUCUUCGUGCCANCAGGCCGCGGUAAAUACGAAAAGGGGCUACCGUNGGCUCGGAAAUAACUGGGCCGUAAAAGGGCGCGUAAGCGGCUCUGUUUANUCAGGCGUGUAAAUUCCUGGGGCUCANCCGGGGGGACUGCGGCUUUAAUACCGGCGGGGGCCUAAAAGUGUUGGGAACCACGGGGUCUUUUGGAAAUUUCUCCCCCUUGUUUCCAGGGUUACAACUUCUCCGUUUANAAUUUUUUUGGGAAA
rnacentral:rRNA from 1 species